CGAGCACCUGCACUCAGGUGGGGGUCCGCAAUGCAGCCUUCUUCCUGUGAGAUUUCUAACUAAACUUCAGCGGAGAAAGUGAGAGUGCUAGCCCUUCAGUCGUGUCCGACUCUGUGACUCUGUGGACUGUAGCCCGCCAGGCUCCUCUGUCUGCGGGAUUCUCCAGGCAGGAAUGCGGGAGUCAGUAGCCAUACCCUUCUCCAGGGAUGCUCCUGAGCCAGGGAUGAAACCUGGGUCUCCUGCAUCGCAGGCGGAUUCUUUACCGUCUGAGCCACCAGGGAAGCCCCACUCCUCCAGUUACCUGGCAUUUAUUCUGUCUCUGAAGAAACCCCUCCCCUGUUCAGCUGCAACACUUGGAAAAUGGCAUCCGGGCACUGUUACCAGGACAAAGGCAUCGAUCUCGGCUGAGAGAACGCUGAGAUGUAUUGACAGAGAGGUUUGCAUCGAUCCAGCAGGAAGUAAGGGGUGUGUAUGUGUCAGUUCCAGCCUCUGCAGGUGGAAGAGACACUUGUCUGCUCAGCAGUGCCAGAAGCGCUGGUUUGAUGGAGGGGAGGAAGCUGAGAUGACCCCAGGGAGACAGGACAAGGAGGACAGGUGUGGAGCCUGGAACCCCAGACUCCUCCCUCCCAGAGAGCAGCCCUGGGGCAGGAACUCUGAUCCCCUGCUUCCUACACGGG
ensembl:lncRNA